GGAGCAGCAGGAGUGAGUGAGGAGCAGGCAUGAGCCCGAUCCCAUGGGAUGGAGCAGUGUGGACAGGUCUCCUUGGAGGCAGGAAACGGGCAAGGGAAGGACAGCCUGAGCCAGAGCUGAAUUACCGAGGAGGGAAUAAUCACAUGGAAAUUGCAGACGUCUUCUCCCUUUCAUCUAGGACUUUGCUGUUCACUACAGUUACAGAAACCACAAGGCUGGAAGAGGGGAGGAAAAAAGAAGAGAUUAAAUUAAUGAGCAGGGCCUUUCAGAAAUUAGCUUUAACCGGAUUCCAAGGGCUUAUUGUGGGGACACAGCCUUGAAACAGAGUCCCCAACCUCGGCGUCCCUUCCCACAGGGGCCCAGAGGAGCGAUUCCCGUGCGCGGCCAGCAGUGCUCCUGGGGACAUGACACAGUGUCACCCGCGGUUCCAAACCCCCACCUGCGGGCCCAGGCACCUGCAGACACUGUUCAACACCACCUUAGGGCAUGACAGGUUUUCCUUCCCUGCUCUGCUUUGGUCAUUUAUUUUCCUGCCUUUUUUGAUUGUGUAUUUUUCCUCCUCCUCAUUACCGAAGCCCAGGGCUCGUCCUGCCUACAUCCAGGACACAAUCCUGCAUUCUAAGAUGUCCACAGGGAGCUGAAGGGAGGAUGAGGGUGGUGGGAGAGAUGCCAUGGUACCUGGGCAGAGCCAGAACACCCCACGCACCCCCAUCCAUGCCCUGAGGAGAAGCUGUCCCAAAGCAGGGAGACCCCAUCAGCCCCCUCUUCAUCUCCUAUUAAACAAGUUAAUGCUUGAGGAAGUGCUGCCUUCCCUGGAUUAGCACAUAAAGGCUUGGA